AGUGAACGCUGGCGGUAGGCCUAACACAUGCAAGUCGAACGGCAGCACAGUAAGAGCUUGCUCUUACGGGUGGCGAGUGGCGGACGGGUGAGGAAUACAUCAGAAUCUACUUUUUCGUGGGGGAUAACGUAGGUAAACUUACGCUAAUACCGCAUACGACCUACGGGUGAAAGCAGGGGAUCUUCGGACCUUGCGCGAUUGAAUGAGCCGAUGUCGGAUUAGCUAGUUGGCGGGGUAAAGGCCCACCAAGGCGACGAUCCGUAGCUGGUCUGAGAGGAUGGUCAGCCACACGGGAACUGAGACACGGUCCAGACUCCUACGGGAGGCAGCAGUGGGGAAUAUUGGACAAUGGGCGCAAGCCUGAUCCAGCCAUACCGCGUGGGUGGAGAAGGCCUUCGGGUUGUAAAGCCCUUUUGUUGGGAAAGAAAAGCAGCAGGUUAAUACCCAGCUGUUCUGACGGUACCCAAAGAAUAAGCACCGGCUAACUUCGUG
rnacentral:rRNA from 1 species